AUGGAAAGCACUGGCUUCAUCUACGGUGCGCUCACCGCUCCUCUCUCAUCACCUAACUCACAUCUCAUUAUAGAAGCAGGAUCACAAAAUCUGUUUUGGCGUGUUGGAAGCCAAUCUUGGGUGGGACAUUCUCUUCAUCAUGGACCAAUCAAGCAAAUCGUGAUCUUCCAAGGGAAAGUGUUUGGCAUGGACUCUGAUCGUAGGCUCUUCAAAGUGGACUUAACACCCCAGAUAAGAAUACAAGAACUCCUAGUUAUUGAGUCACGCAUGAUAAACAAACGGCAUUUUUCUAAUGCAUGGUUGGUGGCAUGUGGCGAUAUGCUUAUCUUAGUUGGCUUUCGAAGAACUGAUGGAAUAAUGGGGAGAACCAUCGAAGUCUUCCGCCUUGACCUAUCGACUGAGCCUGCAUUAUGCUAA
rnacentral:rRNA from 1 species